UACGGAGGAUCCAAGCGUUAUCCGGAUUUAUUGGGUUUAAAGGGUGCGUAGGCGGUUUUAUAAGUUAGAGGUGAAAUCUCGGGGCUCAACUCCGAAAUUGCCUCUAAUACUGUAGGACUAGAGAGUAGUUGCGGUAGGCGGAAUGUAUGGUGUAGCGGUGAAAUGCAUAGAUAUCACACAGAACACCGAUUGCGAAGGCAUCUCACGAAUCCGCUAUUGACGCUGAUGCACGAAAGCGUGGGUAUCAAACAGG
rnacentral:rRNA from 1 species